rnacentral:rRNA from 1 species
CUGUCUGAAUAUGGGGGGACCAUCCUCCAAGGCUAAAUACUCCUGACUGACCGAUAGUGAACCAGUACCGUGAGGGAAAGGCGAAAAGAACCCCGGCGAGGGGAGUGAAAAAGAACCUGAAACCGUGUACGUACAAGCAGUGGGAGCACCCUUUGGGGUGUGACUGCGUACCUUUUGUAUAAUGGGUCAGCGACUUAUAUUCUGUAGCAAGGUUAACCGAAUAGGGGAGCCGGAGGGAAACCGAGUCUUAAYYGGGCGUUAAGUUGCAGGGUAUAGACCCGAAACCCGGUGAUCUAGCCAUGGGCAGGUUGAAGGUUGGGUAACACUAACUGGAGGACCGAACCGACUAAUGUUGAAAAAUUAGCGGAUGACCUGUGGCUGG